CGUUGGCACAAUCUUUACCGGACGCCCUGUGUAUAUAUAUAUAUAUUUAACAAAAAAUAGGAGAGAUAUCUAUAUGUAUUAUGAUUCACUAACCACAUCAUUAACGAUGAACAAACUGUUGACGAAGAGGUUGAGGGAGCAGAAAAAUAUGCAUCAACUCCGGACGAUAUCUUUGCUUCAGCAUAACUCGCGGAUCCUUCAAGGGCGGAAAUGGAAGACCAAUGAUUAAUACAGCCCUACCAUUUGCAUUAGCGAAAUCCAGACCUUCGCUGACCUUUCCUCUGCACACCGCCAUGAAAACCGCC